rnacentral:lncRNA from 1 species
AAUAUUUUCUUUAUUAUUUACUGGGAACACAGAGAACUUGUGGCUGUAUUUGUAAGUGAAGAUGGGAUGAGAAGUUGGCAUCUGUGUCUUGUUUUCAUGGGGAUUAAAGUACUCUUGGAAAUGUUUUUAUCCUGUUAUGUUUUAUUGUCAAAUAAGUAUACCAUCUAAUUUUACAUUCAACAGGGUGCCAGGGGACCUCCGGGACCAAAGGUGGGUAGUAAGUAAUUCAUUAUCCGUCUAAUUUUUUCCAAGUCAAGACUUCUUGAAAUAUUGCUAUGCUAAGGGGGUGGAGAUGAACAUAAUUAUUUCAACUGCACCCCCUCCAUAUCAAUUCAGAUGCAGUAUUUCCAUGAUAUCAAAUUAAUCAGUGACUUGGAGCUGCCCACGUCUGUUUGAACGUGCCAACCGCAACCGCUGUCCAAGCUAAAACUUGACACGGGCCGUGGAAGGAGCGGAGUGGGGGAUUGGAAGCUGGGCUGUAGGAAUGUGCUUUCUUGCAUUUUGAGGGGAAAAAAGGAGAUUGUUCAAGUCUGGUAUUUUUACUUUACAAUUAAUUUGGGGUUUCAAUACAAUUGGUCUUAUUUUCUGUUAUUUCCCUUAACGUCUUUCUUUUCCGCGGUGAUUGUUGCUGAAGGGCGAGCCUGGUGUCCAAGGGAAAAAGGGUGAUGACGGGAUCCCAGGGGAGCCAGGACUUGUGGGCGCUAAGGGAGAAAAAGGAAGUCCUGGUCCAAUGGGAGAGAACGGCACAGAUGGUUUGCCAGGAUCCAAGGGUGAACCUGGUGAGAAGGGAGGAGUCGGCUCCAUUGGACCACGGGGUCCGCCUGGCCUGAAGGGGGAACAGGGCGACACCGUGGUGAUCGACUACGACGGCCGCAUCCUGGACGCGCUCAAGGUGAGCCCAGGGGCGAGGUAACGCCUACGGGCCGGGGACUUCAUCCUCAGCUGGGACGGGGUUACCUCCCCGGGACGGCUCCGCGCGUCGAGGAGCGGCCGGUCUCGGCCAGGAUUGGGCCGAUUGGGUGGCAGGCGGGAGCGCCUGGGACGCUGUUACUGCCCCCAGGAGCUCGGGACGUUUGGGACCUGCCGCGGGG